UGAUGAGCGGGAUUCGAAAAGUGUCUACGGAGCCGAUCUGCUUCCCGCUCACCCACAGCAAUUGCUCCAUGGUCACCAGCGGCUGCACCUGCGCAGAAGGACACCUCAAUGAACGCAAGCUUAGUGAGGUUUAAGGUACCUCAUUCUUCUUGCCCAGAAUCUUCAGGAGUGCCUUGGGCAUGUAGUAUGGCCGCUCUUGGGAACCGUCAUUCCUCUCCAGGUCCUCAACUGAGAGGCAAGUGCACAGCUUGGGGACCAGCACUGUGGUGGGGGAGUCCCUGCUUCGCAGGCACAAGGCUUUGGCUUCUAUAUCACAGCCACCAUCAUCACCAGGACAAAAAAAAAUCACCAUAAUUCCAGCACUUGGGGCCUGAGUCUUUCCCCAGUCCCUUGAUACGACCGGAGAAAAAGAAGAAGGACAGAACACCUGUGGGAAAGAGUCCUGCGGUCAGUGCUGUUCUUGCUGAGGACCCCCCUUCCUGCACCCCUAGGGGGCGCCUGACGCUGUAAGCCCGGGUCUUGACCCUUACCGACACCUCCGACCACCAGCAGCUUCCCAAAGAAGAGCAGUAAAUCAGUGACUUUAUCCAGGACGACUACCCUACAUGGAAGUCAGGACAGAGUGGGCAUGAAGGCGUUUUUGGCGGAGACACAGAAAUUCUUCCCAUAGAUGGCGAUCUGAGAGGAGCAGGAAGGUCUGAGCCACACCUUUGUGGCCUCCAGACUCAGACCACCUCAGUGCCGCCAUCGUCGUGGUGUGUCUAAGCAGCUUCCUGGCUUCCAGACUGGCACAAGAGCUACCCACAAGGCAAGCACCAGGGGUGGGUGGUUUCAACCUGCUCUCUCCUUCUUGCUUUCCCAGCAGCCUGCUUCUGGAGAAGGCUCUGUAGGGACUGAACAUACUGUGGGGAUUUAGCCAUACUAAAGUGACUUUGUUCUCUGUAAUGACGAAACAAUUACAGUGUGUAUGUGUGUGUGGUAUGUGCAUGUGUGUGUGGUGCAUGUGUGUGUUGUAUGUGUGUGAGGUAUGUGUGUAUGUGUGUGGUAUAUGUGUGUGUUGUGUGUGUGUUAUAUAUGUGUGUAUGUGUGGUAUAUGCAUGUGUGUGUAUAUAUGUGUGGUACAUGCAUGUGUGUGUGGUAUGUGUAUGUAAGUGUGUAGACUAUGUGUGAGUGUGAGGUAUGUGUGUGUAUGCAGCUGGGACUGAACACCAAUUCUCACACGUCCUAAAAAACCCACACACAAAAUUGAGCUUCAUGCCCUGCUUUUGUUAUUAAUAUCCACCCCCGCAACCCCUUUCUUCCCUAUUAUUUCUAGUGUGGAACCUGGGGCUUCAGGAACAGAAGACAACUUUUUACCACUGCCCCGCUUUCUGAGCUCUCUGUUGAGGGACUGGGGAAUUAUAUCAGCUGAUAGAGUGCUUGCCCAGCAUGCACAAAGCCACCACAUAAAACCCUGAAUGAGGGCUGGAGAGAUGGCUCAGCAGUUAAGAGCACGGACUAUUCUUCCAGAGCAAACCAGGUUCAAUUCCCAGCACCCACAUGGCAGCCUACAACUGACUGUAAUUCCAGUCCCACGGCGUCUGACGCCCUCACACUGACAUGCAUACAGGCACAACACCAAUGUAUACAGAUCAGUUUUUAAAAACUGCAUAUUUGGGCACACCUGUAGUCACAGCAGAUGGGAGGUAGAGACAGGAGGAUCAGAAGUUCAAGAUCGUCCUUGGCUACAUAGCAUGUUUCAGACCAGCCUGGGCUACACCCGACCCUGUCUAUGAAUAAACAAGCAAGCAAGCAAGAAAACGCUGUUUGAGAUCCACCUUAUUUACAUGUAAAGUGGCAGGGUGGAGUUUGUAUUCAAACUACCUGACCUAUGUGGUACUUUACCCCUAUACUCAAGGAAGCUGAGGCAGGGGGAUCACCAUGAAUAUGAAGCCAGCAUGGGCUACAGAGUACAUUUCAGGUCAGCCUGGAAAAAAAGAAAGAAAGAAGGAAGAGAUGAAAGAACAAAGAUAAGGCAAGCUAGCCAUGUCAUGCCUCUGGCUGCUCCUGCGAGAGAACCAGAGUUCUGUUCCUAGCGUCCACACAGAUGGUUCACCACCAUCUAUAACUCUCGUUCCAGGAGAUCUGAUGCCCCCUUCUGGCCUCUUUGGACAGCAAGUACAAUGCUGAGCAUAGACAUACAUGUGGGCCAGACACCGUGUGCACGAAAUGAAAUAAUAAUAACAUGUGGGAAGUAAUAAAAAAGAUAUAGUAAUUUUAAAAAGGGGGAGAGGGAAGAGAAAACAUUUUUAACACCCAGAAGCUGGGGUUGUAUCUUAACGAUGGGGAACUUAUCUAGGACUCACCAGAACUCCAGAACAAAAGUUAUAGAUGAAGACAAGGGGGUAAAAGUUGAGCCCUGAGGAAGGUUAGGGAUGUAGCUCAUGCCUGAGGCCCUGGGCUCAAAUUCUAGCUUUGCAAAGAGGAGGAAGGGAAGGAGGAGGAGUUCUUAGAGGAAACUGAGGGCUGCAGGAACUCACCACCUUCUGUCACUCCUGCGUAUGUUCAGAACUGCCCGUAAUCACACGCAGAAAAGGAGCAAUUAAAAACUAGGGCUGGAGAGAUGGCUCAGUGGUUAAGAGCACUGACUGCUCUUCCAGAGGUCCUGAGUUCAAAUCCCAGCAACCACAUGGUGGCUCACAAUCAUCUGGAAUGGAAUCCAAUGCCCUCUUCUGGUAUAUCUGAAGACAGCUACAGUGUACUCAUAUAAAUAAAAUAAGUUAAUAAUUAAAAAAAAACUAGAUAAAUGCAGAAAAUAUGACUAUACGAGCUUCAUGGUUUCUGAGUGUGAGAGGCUAUGUUUGAAGUAAAGCUGGGUAUGGUGGUACACGCCUUUAAUCUCAACACUCAGGAGGCAGAGACUGGUAGAUUUGUGUGAGUUUGAGACCAGCCCGGCCUACAUAUUAAGUUCCAGGACAGGCAGGGCUAUAGAGUGAGACCCUGAUUCAUAUAAGAAAAAGGAAAUAAAAAUCCACUUGCCCUUAGCAGACCACUGUGGGAUUGUAGAGGGUGAGCUAUGAAAGAAAACCAGGUCCUCCUGAGCACAGAACGCAGUGGGGUCUUUUACAGAUCUAAAUAGGCCUUCCUCCUCUUUUAGUAUGUAAGGGUUCUUGACAUAUAUAAGGGUCUGUCUCCCUAUGUAGUCCAGGAUGGCCUUGAAUUUAAAAUCCCCAUUUUUUUUUUUUUUGUUCUUUUUUUCAGAGCUGGGGACCGAACCCAGGGCCUUGCGCUUCCUAGGUAAGCGCUCUACCACUGAGCUAAAUCCCCAGCCCCUAAAAUCCCCACUCUUAACCUUCAGGAUGCUGGGAUUAGUGGCUUGUUUUGUUUGUUUGUUUUUUCUUCCUAUGCUUCUUAGAGACGGCUUCACGUAGCUCAGACUGGCCUCAGACUGGAGCUGAAAGUCUGAUCUUUCACCUCCAUCUCUCAAGUUCCGGGAAGUACCAACAGGCCUCCCAGUUCCUCCAGGAGGCCCUCCUGUGGACUUCCUAGUGCCACUGUCUGGGGCUCCGUUCCCAGGACGUGAAGAGGGAAACGGAAGCGUCCAGCCCGCUGGGCUAUCAGUGGGCAGGCAUUGGGCACAGCACUAGACAUACCCAAUGCCAUUACAACUCCUAAAUUGCCCCUGAAACAGGGGUAGGAUCAGUUCCAAUGUAUAGAACAGGGGGAGGAGGCACAGGGGGAGGAGCCACGGGAAGAGGAGGAACCACAGGAAGAGGAGGAGUCAGGAGGUGGAGCCACAGGAAAAGGAGGAGGAGUCACAGGAAGAGGAGGAGAAGCCAGGAGGUGGAGCCACAGGAAGAGAAGGAGGAGCCAUUUAACGGCCUUAGAGGCAAAGGCUGCCCCACCUUUUCUUUGGGUUUCCGGUGUCCACCUCACUUUCCACAGUGGAAAGUGGACUCCAAAUUAAGGGAGAUCCCAUCCAUCCAUGUGAGAGUCCGCACCCUCUUAGGUAUUAGUGCACUAGUGGAAAUCUGUGCUAAUUGACCCCCAAGGUCCCCUCAGCACCCACCCUAUUCCCUCUCACCAUGGGGUCACAGGACACGUUCACAAGAACUUUCUCACAGCCCGGUGUACUGGUGUUAUGCACCCAAUAGACGUACUGGGGUUGCCCGGAUGUAGCCAGGUACCCAGAGGUGAGUCAAGAAAAAGCUCGAUGCCAGCUGUCAAUUGGAGGACACCCCUAAAUAGCUGCUCCUGGGGUUAAUGCAGAUUAUUCGCCCCCCACAGAGGGUUGGCAUUCAGCCCAAGCUCACCCUUACAAUACAGUCACCUCACAGUCCCUCAUGGGACAUGUCCUGUGCCACACCCCACUCCCAAGCUCUCCUGCGGGGGUUUCAUAAAGGAUACAGAGCUGUCACGGCCCAGUAACCAAUGCAAAUGACCAGGAGGACGAAGGUGACCAGAGGAUAGAACAUAGUUGACAUCAUCUGUCCCACAGCUCUGUAGGAAGACAAGAGUAGAGUCCUCUUGGACCUCAGCCCUGUGCAUCCGCUCCCAGGCCUGACCCUGGCUGGACCCUUCCUCGAGUCUGUUUGUUUCCCAGACCAGAAACAGAACUGCAGCUUUCUUCCACAUCCAUAAACCCAGCCAGCGCCUCGUUCUGGGAGCGGAACGCUGUAGACUUGCCGGGUGAACCGAAUAAGGCUCAAGGGACCCAUAGGGAGACUGGAGUCACAGAAGACACCUGGGACGCUCAGGGAAUAUAAGGGAAGAGAACCCCAAAAGGUGUGCCCCCUCGUGGCUUUGGCAGCCCCUGCUUCUCCUAUCUCCACUACCCCAGCUAUUUCACCCAGCAAGCACCUUAGCUCCCAGUGCCUCCAGAGUCCUGCACCCUUAGUCCACACCACGCUUCCAGUCCUCACCAUGCAAGGUUUAGACUGCUGUUAUAGGGGCCUGAGGGUGGUGGGACAUUCAUCCAAUUCCAGUACCCGAGAGGCUGAGAAAGCUGGGUUGCCGCUCUGAGGCCGGUCUGGGUUACCGUUGCAAAAGUGACAGGGGUGGGGCAUGAUGACAGAGGAGGCGAUCCUGAGCUAGACUCCCCCAUCCCAGCAUUGCCUAAAACCCUAGCAUUCUGGAGGCAGGUAUAGAAGGAUGGGUUCCAGGUCAUCUUCAACUAUGUGAGUUUGAGGUCAGCCUAUGCUUCCCGAGACCCUCUUGUGGGGAAGGAAGACCCAGAGUUUGCAGUCAGCCUCAGUUACACAGUUGCUCCAUGCUAUUAGUUUAAGCUGUAUGAGUUCUUGUCUCAAAGACAAAAUAAAUAAACAAAAAGCCCUUGGGGCUGGAGAGAUGGCUCCAUAGUUAAGAGCACUGGCUGCUCUCCCAGAGGACUUGAGCUCAGUUCCCAGAAUCCACAUGGCUGCUCAGAACUGUCUGUAACUCCAGUUCCAGAGGAUCCAGCGCCCUCUCCUGUCCUCCACAGGGACCAGACAUGUGCACGGACAUGCAUUCUAGGAAAACGCCCAUACGUAAAACACAAAUAAAUAAACCUCCCCCCUCCCAAGGACAACAAAACAAACUAGACAAGGAAACUGAGGUCCUAAAAGGCUGGAACUCUCCGGGCAGUGGUAGUGCAUGCCUUUAAUCCCAGCACUCGGGAGGCACAGGAAGGCAGGUCUCUGUGAGUUCGAGGCCAAGCCUGGUCUACAGAGUGAGUUCCAGGACAUCCAGGGCUGCACAGAGAGACCCUGUUUCAACCCACCAAUCCUUCCACCCACACCCACACACACCCACACACACCCACACACACCCACACAGAGGCUGAAAUUCAGCAGUGCUACCCAUCUUUCUCCUCUGGGGUUCCUGUUACCCCACUCAGGCCAGCACCCCUGCUUGAGUCCCCUCUCCCUCACAGGCAGGCUCUGACCUGCUAGCUUCUUUCAGCAGAGCAAUGGCAAUCCGGAUCCGCUGGCGCAGGAAAAUGAGCAUGAGCAACAAGACGCCCUCCAGGACAGCCAGGAUAAUCACUGCAGGGAGACAGCGGGUGGUAGUCCUGGGUCAGGGCCAGGGCCACCCAACCCUGGGCGUCCAGCACACGGAGGAGAUGGUCAGGGGACUCACGAGCAGCCAGCCAUGUCUCCUUCACAUUCUGGUAGGCACUGAGGUUGGCAGUGAAGCCUAGCUGGGUGAUGGAGACACCCUGGUCCCGCAGCUCUCGGUACUGUUGCCAGCAGUGGUAGAUACCAUAGGCCAGCACGGCCAGCACCCCCACAAUCAGCAGCAGCACCAGGGGGGCCGCCACCAGGCGCAGGAGCAGGAUGAACAGCAGACUUAGCACCAGGGCCACACCCAGCGCCCUGCAGGGAAGGAACAUACAUGAGAGGUGGCCUCCCAAGCCCUUCAUAGUUCCCCAGGGUUCUUUCCUUGCAACCCCUGGUAUCCAUAGAUUUGAUCCGUCUUCUGAGAGGCCUCAGGGUCCACUCUGAGCUCCACUCCCUGACCACUUUACAUGUAGACUUGGGGAAAGAGUAUCAGGAAGGGUGGGGAAACUGUGGACUCACACGAGAAUCCAGUACCAGGACUGGGCAAAAUCUUCAAAGAUCUUCACAGAGACAUCCCGGGCAUUGAUGCUGUCCAGGAGGCCACUGUCGGGGAGGGAUGGUGUCAGAUUGGGCUGAGGGUAAGAAGGGACACGGGGACACAGGUGAUACGGAGGGUACCAUCUACCUGAUUCCUUUAGAGACAGUGGUGUUAUUGAUCUGUAACUGUUCAGGUAAUGUGAAGUUGAUGUUGGGGAGCGGAAAACAACGUCCCAGAGCUGGAAGAGAGAACAGGGGCUGCUGGGUAGGAGUCUCUUUGAUCCUCUGUCUGAGGGGACAGGGAGUAAGGGUGGAUGGGGUGCUGCAGCCUGUUUCCCCUCCCCAGCACUGGUCAGAUGUCCUCGCACCCCAUUACCGGGGCCCCUGCAAUUCUUUCCAGCCCUGACCUCGCUGUGCCGGUGAGAUCAGGACACUUAUGGUUUCCUCAUUCCACUGUUCCUCUCCUCAGUCCCUCUGCUCUGCAUGUCCCUGGGCCAUGCUUCCAGGUCCAGGAUUCUCUGUACAUUCUACACCUCUGCUCUCGAGGGGCCUCUAAGUAGCCUCUUCAGAAACUUCCCCCUCAGUCUCAGGGCAGCCCCCGUCCCAUCUCUGUAUCUGCAUCUCUAGCUGGGUCUGUUAUGGGGCUCUGGAACCACAUGUAGCCGGGCAGGUUUAUUUUAUCACUGACAUCCCAAUGUCAAGAAAACACAGAGAGUAACUGGCCUGAGACCUGUCCACUGGAAAGCGCUUGAGUUUAAAAACCACAUCUGUCAGUUUUGAAGCUGCCCUUUCUAUCAUACUUGCCUUGAAAACUUAUCCUUUCUCAUACCAAAAUUUAAAAAUAUCUUCUACUAAAAGUGAGAGAGAGAGAGAGAGAGAGAGAGAGAGAGAGAGAGAGAGAGAGAGAGAAAGAAAGAAAAAGAGAAGACAAAUAGGAAAGAUAAAGGGAGGUGACAUGAUGGUGCCUGGGUGACAUGGCUAUUCCUAUCUGUCAUCUCAGCGUGGGGUCAGGCUGAGGCAGGAAAAUCACCAGUGUGGAGCCAGCUGGGUUACAGAGUAUGUUCUAUCUUUAAAUAAACCAAACCAGUCACCCUGGCAGAGGGGAAAAAGUGUGUGCCUCAGAAAAACCCAUGGUGAUUGGCUUAAGCAGCCAGGUACACCUGUAAUGUUUGGAAAGGUAUCUGUUUGCUAUAUUUUCCUCAGUUUCAUUCAUCCCUAUGGAUUUUGUUUAAAAAAGAAAAACUUUUAAAAGA